UACGAAGGGGGCUAGCGUUGCUCGGAAUCACUGGGCGUAAAGCGCACGUAGGCGGACUCUUAAGUCGGUGGUGAAAUCCCGGAGCUCAACUCCGGAACUGCCUUUGAUACUGGCGAUCUUGAGAUCGGAAGAGGUGAGUGGAAUUCCCAGUGUAGAGGUGAAAUUCGUAGAUAUUGGGAAGAACACCAGUGGCGAAGGCGGCUCACUGGUCCGAUACUGACGCUGAGGUGCGAAAGCG
rnacentral:rRNA from 1 species